rnacentral:rRNA from 1 species
GACGAACGCUGGCGGCGUGCUUAACACAUGCAAGUCGAACGGAAAGGCCCUGCUUUUGUGGGGUGCUCGAGUGGCGAACGGGUGAGUAACACGUGAGUAACCUGCCCUUGGCUUUGGGAUAACUUCAGGAAACUGGGGCUAAUACCGGAUAGGAGCUCCUGCUGCAUGGUGGGGGUUGGAAAGUUUCGGCGGUUGGGGAUGGACUCGCGGCUUAUCAGCUUGUUGGUGGGGUAGUGGCUUACCAAGGCUUUGACGGGUAGCCGGCCUGAGAGGGUGACCGGCCACAUUGGGACUGAGAUACGGCCCAGACUCCUACGGGAGGCAGCAGUGGGGAAUAUUGCACAAUGGGCGGAAGCCGGAUGCAGCAACGCCGCGUGCGGGAUGACGGCCUUCGGGUUGUAAACCGCUUUCGCCUGUGACGAAGCGUGAGUGACGGUAAUGGGUAAAGAAGCACCGGCUAACUACGU